CAUACACCUUCACAAUAACAUUGUUUGAGACUAUGUCCCGAUGGGAGGAUUAUAUGACAGAUUUGGCCAUGGUCCAAGGUCAUCGAGAUUUCCUACCGGAGAUCAUACACCAUCACAAUAAAAUCAGAAUCGGAGAUCAGAAUAUUUUACUCCCAAUUCUGGAUGUCGUCUUGUGAACUGCAAAUCAUUGUCAAAAAUACGUUUGUGGAAUAUCAACAUGUUUACAUCAUAAGACACUUUAGUGUCUCCUGUCAUAAACAAAUCAUGUUUUAUACAAAUUGAAGAAUUCUGAAUGUGAUUGAGAAUGCCGAGUGUGGACAGACAU